CGUGACAUUGGUGUUGCCGUAGCUGCGCAUAUACAGAGUGUAACAAGCGCCGCUUACAUGCCUUCGUCGACGCAUCCAAAUGCCGGCACCGAAAACGUUCAGCGUACUCCUCAUUGUGUUCUGCUGUCUGCUCGCUGUCCUUGACCAGGCCUCUUCCAGAAGGGUCCACAGGUGCUUCCUGGCUCGAAAGCUUCGUGAGGCCGGGUUUCACCGCUACCACAUUUUGCACUGAACCGUUCUAUCGAGUUUUCCAGUCUGACUGCAGCACCAGAGUACAUAGCCUCGCGGAUUGAAAAAAGCAACCUUGUGAAGGCCUCAAUGGAAAUGGAACAUGACGCGCACGGUUGGCGCCCUGCAUCUGUUGGCGGAUUGUGACUGGGAUACACGAGGGACGUGAGCAUGCAUCUAUUUCCCGCGUGGCCCUAACGGUGAAUCUCAAAGACUUUGAGAUGGGGAAGUUUGAGCAACCCAGCUCCAUCUGGUCAGUGUACGGUGCCUAUAGCAUCGUUACGCAUGUGCAAACAACUGCUUACAUAAACAUCUGCAACUCUUCAAAUAUUUCUGCGCGUUUAACAUUUGUACUUAUAUCUAGCAUCUUUUCAUGACGUGUCACUCAAUAAAAAAAUGCAGCACGGUCAC